rnacentral:rRNA from 1 species
UGCCUUAGUAACUGCGAGUGAAGCGGCAAAAGCUCAAAUUUGAAAUCUGGCGUCUUCGGCGUCCGAGUUGUAAUUUGGAGGGAUAACUUCGGGGUUGGCGCCGUCCUAAGUUCCUUGGAACAGGACGUCACAGAGGGUGAGAAUCCCGUGCCUGGAUGGCUGUCCAACUCCAUGUGAAGUGUCUCCGACGAGUCGAGUUGUUUGGGAAUGCAGCUCAAAAUGGGUGGUAAAUUUCAUCUAAAGCUAAAUAUUGGCGAGAGACCGAUAGCGCACAAGUAGAGUGAUCGAAAGAUGAAAAGCACUUUGAAAAGAGAGUUAAAAAGUACGUGAAAUUGUUGAAAGGGAAGCGCUUGCGACCAGACUCGAUCUUUGGUGAUCAGCCGGGCUUCUGUCCGGUGCCCUCGCCAUUGAUUGGGCCAGCAUCGGUUCUGACGGCGGGAUAAAAGGAGGAGGAAUGUGGCUCCCUUCGGGGAGUGUUAUAGCCUCCUUCACAAUGCCGCCAGUUGGGACCGAGGACCGCGCUUCGGCUAGGAUGCUGGCGUAAUGGUCUUAAGCGACCCGUCUUGAAACACGGACCAAGGAGUCUAACAUCUAUGCGAGUGUUCGGGUGGAAAACCCUUGCGCGUAAUGAAAGUGAACGGAGGUGUGAACCCUUUACGGGGUGCAACAUCGACCGGUCCUGAUGUCUUCGGAAGGAUCUGAGUAAGAGCAUAGCUGUUGGGACCCGAAAGAUGGUGAACUAUGCCUGAAUAGGGUGAAGCCAGAGGAAACUCUGGUGGAGGCUCGCAGCGGUUCUGACGUGCAAAUCGAUCGUCAAAUUUGGGUAUAGGGGCGAAAGACUAAUCGAACCAUCUA